CACGAAGUUAGCCGGGGCUUCUUCUGUGGGUACCGUCAUUAUCUUCCCCACUGAAAGAGCUUUGCAACCCUAAGGCCUUCAUCACUCACGCGGCAUGGCUGGAUCAGGCUUGCGCCCAUUGUCCAAUAUUCCCCACUGCUGCCUCCCGUAGGAGUCUGGGCCGUGUCUCAGUCCCAGUGUGGCUGAUCAUCCUCUCAGACCAGCUAAAGAUCGUCGCCUUGGUAGGCCAUUACCCCACCAACUAGCUAAUCUUACGCGGGCUCAUCUAAUUCCGAUAAAUCUUUCCCCCGUAGGGCGUAUACGGUAUUAGCACAAGUUUCCCUGUGUUGUUCCGUAGAACUAGGUAGAUUCCCACGCGUUACUCACCCGUCUGCCACUCCCCUUGCGGGGCGUUCGACUUGCAUGUGUUAAGCCUGCCGCCAGCGUUCGUUCUGAGCCAGGAUCAAACUCU
rnacentral:rRNA from 1 species